CCUACGGGUGGCAGCAGUGAGGAAUAUUGGUCAAUGGGCUUACGCCUGAACCAGCCAAGUCGCGUGAGGGAGGACUGCCCUAUGGGUUGUAAACCUCUUUUGUCAGGGAGCAACGCCGGCUACGUGUAGCCGGACUGAGAGUACCUGAAGAAAAAGCAUCGGCUAACUCCGUGCCAGCAGCCGCGGUAAUACGGAGGAUGCGAGCGUUAUCCGGAUUUAUUGGGGUUAAAGGGUGCGUAGGCGGAAUGCAAAGUCAGCGGGAAAAUCGCGGGGCUAAACCUCGCUCCGCAGUUGAAACUGGCGGUCUUGAGUGGGCGCGAGGAAUGCGGAAUGCGUGGUGUAGCGGUGAAAUGCAUAGAUAUCACGAAGAACUCCGAUUGCGAAGGCAGCAGACCGGCGCCCAACUGACGCUGAGGCACGAAAGCGUGGGUAUCGAACAGGAUUAGAUACCCUAGUAGUC
rnacentral:rRNA from 1 species